rnacentral:rRNA from 1 species
AUACGGAGGAUCCGAGCGUUAUCCGGAUUUAUUGGGUUUAAAGGGUGCGCAGGCGGGAGAUUAAGUCGGCGGUGAAAUUUUGCAGCUCAACUGUAAAAGUGCCUUCGAUACUGGUUUCCUUGAGUGUGGAUGAAGUAGGCGGAAUUUGUGGUGUAGCGGUGAAAUGCUUAGAUAUCACGAGGAACUCCGAUUGCGCAGGCAGCUUACUAAACCACUACUGACGCUCAGGCACGAAGGCGUGGGGAUCAAACAGGAUUAGAUACCCUGGUAGUCCACGCAGUAAACGAUGAUUACUGGCUGUUUGCGAUACAAUGUAAGCGGCUGAGCGAAAGCGUUAAGUAAUCCACCUGGGGAGUACGUUCGCAAGAAUGAAACUCAAAUGAAUUGACGGGG